ensembl:lncRNA
GUAGGUUUCAGCAGGGAGUGGGACUGCUCUCUCUCUCUGUAGGUUUCAGCAGGGAGUGGGACUGCUCUCUCUCUCUCUCUCUCUCUCUCUCUCUCUCUCUCUCUCUCUCUCUGUAGGUUUCAGCAGGGAGUGGGACUGCUCUCUCUCUCUGUAGGUUUCAGCAGGGAGUGGGACUGCUCUCUCUCUCUCUCUGUAGGUUUCAGCAGGGAGUGGGACUGCUCUCUCUCUCUCUGUAGGUUUCAGCAGGGAGUGGGACUGCUCUCUCUCUCUCUCUCUCUCUCUCUCUCUCUCUCUCUGUAGGUUUCAGCAGGGAGUGGGACUGCUCUCUCUCUCUCUCUCUCUCUCUCUCUCUCUCUCUCUCUCUCUGUAGGUUUCAGCAGGGAGUGGGACUGCUCUCUCUCUCUCUCUCUCUCUCUCUCUCUCUCUCUCUCUCUCUCUCU